rnacentral:misc_RNA from 1 species
GGCCACUUGCCAGCUGUUGCGCCACACCCCCUCCCUCCUCUUCUGUGCUAGAUACGCGAAUGCCGCUGCAGACUCGUCGAUCAGGCCUUGGCAGCCGUCGCGCCGUGACAGGGGUGCUGCGCGCCAGCCAAGUGUGGCGCAUGCGCUUUGACAAAGCUGCACCACCACCAGCGCCGCCGCCGCCGCCGCCUCCGGCGGGAUCGACUGCCACGAGCUCUUCGACGGCCGCGUCGGCGCUACCGCGUGUGUCGUACCGCACACUGCCCUCGAGUAUGUACCCCAAGGAGGUCAGCUCCGACUUCAUUCCCUUUCCGCUGCCGAAGCACGACGCGUCUAUGGGCUUUGGGCCGGUACGCCUGCGCAACGUACCGGACAUCGAAGAGGCUCGAGCGCGCAUGGCCAAGGCAGCGCAGGGCCCACCGCGAGGAAGUGCGUCUACGCAGCUCCAGGAUGACGACGGUGACAACGCCGAAGCGGCGUCUGCCUUGUGGGCAGAGCUGAGCGGCGAAACCACGGCGACAUCCGUUGGUCUCUCCACUACUUCCGUGACAGGGGUGUCGCCAGAGGAUCCGGAAGCGCUGUCACGUCUGGCGGAUGCGCGGGAUGAAGACUUUGUCGGCUAUCAUGUCCACCGGCACUUUCCGCUGCUCGAUGUGCUGGAGUGCGACCGAAGCGUGAACGACCUUCUUGCGCAGUUUUGGAACCGCCCACAGCGCGAGGCUAGGACGGCGACAGUGCUCGACUUUGCCGCGACGCUGCAGCGCCGCAGCAACGACGAACUCACACGCGUUCUCUACGAACUGAGCUCUCUCUUCGAGUGGGACGGUAAUGGACUUCAGUUCAUUGCUGCCAAGGUGCUCAAGUAUGGUCGCAGCUACACCGUGUCGAGCGAGUUGACGAAGGCGUUUGUCCAGUUGGUGGACGCGAUGACGGUGACGUUUGUUGAGGAGCAGCCGCACCGCCUGGCGGAGUCGCCUGCGCUGCUGGCGCAGGUGCUCCACUUUCUGGCGCUGGUAAAGAUCAUGGAGCCGAAUAAAUGGUACACGCUGAACCCCAACGCGCCGCAGAAUCGCGCCGACUACACGCACCCGCGCGGCGUGAAUCGGACGUCUGCUCACGUGACUACGGGCCGCGUGCUGCUCGACUUUCUCGAGGACAUGGUCACCAGUGGGCACAACUGGACGAGUGAGGCUGUUGUCGAUGACCAACAGGGCAGCCUGGCGCGUCCUCCCGUACCGCAGCACGCAACAUAUCGUUUCACUGAGGGAUGGUCGGAGGACGACAUCCUUGAUGUUAUGGCGGGAUUCUCAGGCGUCAUGCCCGAUGGCAAGGCGUCGUCACCCGUCUUGUAUGCACUGCUGGGUGAGCUGUGGAUGCGCUGGUCUAAGGUGGGCUUUGUGCUCUCUGGGUCUGAGCAGGCGGCGCGACUUGAGCGUUUGUACAUGUUGUUGCAAGUAAUGGACGUGCAGCGUGACGCCGUGCUGAAUGCGCUGCUUGGUGGGCAGCUCAGGGCUCAUGGAACGGCACCAUCCACAUCGACGUUGCCGACGCUGUUUUGCGAGCGCGACGACACCCCGCCGCUGACGUUGGCGCAGUCUCUCACACAAACGCGCGGGCCAGAUUUCUUCUCGGCUGUCUCGCGCGAUAAGCGGGCGAUGGUCAAGGCAGCCGCCUUGCGGCUUCUCAGGGCGAGCUUGGCGAAGGCACGCGACGAUAGCGAUGCGGCGCUGCACCAGGCCCUCGUCGAGAGCGGUACUGAGCUGCUGCAGAGUUUGACGUCCAAGUCAGCUGCGCUGUCGUUUGCGCAGAGAGAGCAGUUCGACGUGAUGACGCUGAGAGCGGUGCCGCACAUGGCGGACGUGGCAGAGCGGCUCGCCGAGCAGCGCGCCGAGACACCGUUCUUUCCGCUUACUGCGUCCGCAGGCGGUCUUCCCGACACCGCUGCCGUGCUUGCCCACCUCAGUUCUCAUCCUGCGCCGUACAUUGUUCUCUACAAGGGUCGUCGUGUCCACCCAGUGCGAACCUUGGUGUCGAAUCUGGACCACGUAGCAGCCGUGGAGAACGUCUUCUUACUGCACUCCAGCGGCGUUUCAAAGUGCGUUGACGCCCUCGUCGCCGUCGCCCGGCGCCUGCGUAGCGGCAAGGAUGCGCUGAUCGUCACGGCCAGCUGUCUGCGGGCGCUGCAAGCGGCCGCCCAGUACGGAGCGACGGAGAAGCGCCGCGCGACGGCUGACCGUGCGCUGAAUAUUGUCUCCUAUGAACUGGAGACAGGUCGAGCCAUACUCAUGCCAGUUACUGACGAGCUGUACCUGCACGACGCCGGUACGUAUUGCGAUGAGGACCUCAUGCUGUGGACUCUGGCCGCCUACUUGGCUCGAGACGUGCCCCUUGUGAAGGUGCACACGAUCAUGAGUAGCCGCAGCAGAGCACGAAACCCUCAGCACACACUGCGAGGCGAGCACAGCCCUCUCACAUCGUCAGGCGACCUGUACAACAAGUCGACGCCGCUCCUACAAUCGCUGCGAAGCAAGGAGCUGCGCGCUGUCACGCACCACCCGGUCGUGCAGCGUCCAGUGCGGGACCCCCCGCAAACGCUCUACAACGUUAACCCAAUCCGUGCCCGCUUUGUGUACCGGCGAGACAAGGCAUUGUUUGACAAGUACCAUGUCACGGCGCGCAACCUAGCACCUGGGUUCAGCCAAGGUGCGCUGAACAGCGACCUGCGGGCGCUUGGCUUCUACACCCCCGACCAUCCACAAGUCCCUUACACGCCUUUGUCGGAGUUGAGGUGCUGCCCAGUGCCUGCCAUUCCGCCUGCUUCACAGUGAGCCAUCUUGCACAACGAAGCAUCUGCCUUUAUGUGCGUGGGGGUAGGGUAGGAGGUCCCUCGCCAUCUGUCCCUGAUUCGAGUCGCUGCGCUCUCGAGGGUGGGGCGGGUGUGAGAGCGAGUUUCCAGGCCUGCCGGCGUGUCUUCUUCGAGGUUCGGCGAAGGCAGGCCCUAUCACGGGGCCGUGAUCGACUUUGGUAGGUAUGCCACUCGCUGCGCCUCUUGUGUGUCUUGGCAUUGACGGCUCUUGUGUCGUCUCCCCCGAAAGGGACUCUCCGGUCUCUCUCACAGU